rnacentral:lncRNA from 1 species
UCUUAUAUAAAUUAGGCCCUUGAUUAGGAGGUAUGUUGGAAGGUCCUCCUUGGUCUUUACUGAACUGAUUUCCUGGAUGUGACCUCCAUCCUUGCCCCAGAUUUUGAUUGAAAUUUCCGCCUUGUUGGUAACCUGAAAAAUUGCCUGAAUGGAAUCCUUGUCUAUUUUGAUUCCCCAUGUAAUUUACUUCUUUUGCAACAUUAUCUUGGGG